UGGUGUAGUGGUCAGCACACUGAGCCGGUAUUUCAGAGGUGCGUGGUUCGAUUCCCGU
rnacentral:tRNA from 1 species